rnacentral:rRNA from 1 species
UACGGGGGGGGGCAAGCGUUGCUCGGAAUCACUGGGCGUAAAGGGCGUGUAGGCGGGAAGGUAAGUCGGGCGUGAAAUCCCUGGGCUCAACCCAGGAACUGCACUCGAAACUACUUUUCUUGAGUGCCGGAGAGGAAAGCCGGAAUUCCUGGUGUAGACGGUUGGAAAUUCGUAGAUAUUCGCAAGAACACCAGGUGGCCGAAA